rnacentral:rRNA from 1 species
GACGAACGCUGGCGGCGUGCUUAACACAUGCAAGUCGAACGGAAAGGCCCUGCUUUUGUGGGGUGCUCGAGUGGCGAACGGGUGAGUAACACGUGAGUAACCUGCCCUUGACUUUGGGAUAACUUCAGGAAACUGGGGCUAAUACCGGAUAGGAGCUCCUGCUGCAUGGUGGGGGUUGGAAAGUUUCGGCGGGUGGGGAUGGACUCGCGGCUUAUCAGCUUGUUGGUGGGGUAGUGGCUUACCAAGGCUUUGACGGGUAGCCGGCCUGUGAGGGUGACCGGCCACAUGGGGACUGAGAGACGGCCCAGACGCCUACGGGAGGCAGCAGUGGGGAAUAUUGCACAAUGGGCGGAAGCCUGAUGCAGCAACGCCGCGUGCGGGAUGACGGCCUUCGGGUUGUAAACCGCUUUCGCCUGUGACGAAGCGUGAGUGACGGUAAUGGGUAAAGAAGCACCGGCUAACUACGUG